ensembl:lncRNA PVT1 Pvt1 oncogene
GAGAGGCAGGCGGGCCCUAGCUGCAGCGUCAAGGUCUGGGGAUUCUGUGGCUCUGUAGGGUGAAGGGCACUGGAGACCUACCAGGGGCUGGGCCAUUGGAGUGGUGGGUGCUGGGGAGCUUCCGUGGGCCCCUCCAGGUCCACUCCUUGCUCUUCUCUGCCUUGUUUUGUGCCCAGAAGGCUGACCUGUGUGGAUGCAUUAUCAGGGUGGAUGCAACACAGGGCUGCCAUGCUCUCUGGUAUCAGUUUGGAAGGCACUGGCAGGAUGGGAAGGCAGGCGGGGAGUGAGGUCAGGGGGCCUAUCCUUCCACUGCCUCCCUGCUGCUCCCUGACUGAUUCAGAGCCAGUCUUGGUGCUCUGUGUUCACCUGGUUCAUCUGAGGAGCUGCAUCUACCCUGCCCAUGCCAUAGAUCCUGCCCUGUUUGCUUCUCCUGUUGCUGCUAGUGGACAUGAGAUCUUGGACAUGAUACCUGGAUGUGCAGCAGCCAUCUGGUAAUUAUGAGGUGACAAGUCAAUAGACUGAGAUGGUGGAGCAGCAAAGAUAGAAAAGAAGGACAGAAUAACGGGCUCCCAGAUUCACAAGCCCCACCAAGAGGAUCACCCCAGGAACGCUUGGAGGCUGAGGAGUUCACUGAGGCUACUGCAUCUUGAGACUCAGGAUGAAGACCCAGCUUGGGGCUGUCAAAGGUUUUUUGCAUGUCUGACACCCAUGACUCCACCUGGACCUUAUGGCUCCACCCAGAAGCAAUUCAGCCCAACAGGAGGACAGCUUCAACCCAUUACGAUUUCAUCUCUGCCCCAACCACUCAGCAGCAAGCACCUGUUACCUGUCCACCCCCACCCCUUCCCCCAAACUGCCUUUGAAAAAUCCCUAACCUAUGAGCUUUGAAUAAGAUGAGUACGAACUUCAUCGCCCACGUGGCGUGGCCGGCCUCGUGUCUAUUAAAUUCUUUUUCUACUACAA